rnacentral:rRNA from 1 species
CAAGUCUGGUGCCAGCAGCCGCGGUAAUUCCAGCUCCAAUAGCGUAUAUUAAAAUUGUUGCAGUUAAAAAGCUCGUAGUUGAAUUUCUGCCGCAUCGCGGCGGCCCUCCCGGGCCCAGCGUUGCGGCUUAUUUCGGACUCGCUUGCGUCUCCGAAUGUUUACUUUGAGAAAAUUAGAGUGCUCAAAGCAGGCCCUUGCCUUGAAUACUUUAGCAUGGAAUAAUAAAGUAGGACUUUGGUUCUAUUUUGUUGGUUUAGCGCCAAAGUAAUGGUUAAUAGGAACAGUUGGGGGCAUUCGUAUUUAACUGUCAGAGGUGAAAUUCUUAGAUUUGUUAAAGACGAACCACUGCGAAAGCAUUUGCCAAGGAUGUUUUCAUUAAUCAAGAACGAAAGUUAGGGGAUCGAAGACGAUCAGAUACCGUCGUAGUCCUAACCAUAAAC